AUGAACGCUGGCGGCGUGCUUAACACAUGCAAGUCGAACGGAAAGGCUCCUGCUUGCAGGGGUACUCGAGUGGCGAACGGGUGAGUAACACGUGGGUGAUCUGCCCUGCACUUCGGGAUAAGCCCGGGAAACUGGGUCUAAUACCGGAUAGGACGAUGGUUUGGAUGCCAUUGUGGAAAGUUUUUUCGGUGUGGGAUGAGCUCGCGGCCUAUCAGCUUGUUGGUGGGGUAAUGGCCUACCAAGGCGUCGACGGGUAGCCGGCCUGAGAGGGUGUACGGCCACAUUGGGACUGAGAUACGGCCCAGACUCCUACGGGAGGCAGCAGUGGGGAAUAUUGCACAAUAGGCGCAAGCCUGAUGCAGCGACGCCGCGUGGGGGAUGACGGCCUUCGGGUUGUAAACUCCUUUCGCUAGGGACGAAGCGCAAGUGACGGUACCUGGAGAAGAAGCACCGGCUAACUACGUG
rnacentral:rRNA from 1 species